CUUGAUGAUAGCAUCUUAAAGAAAUCCUGCUCCGAUUUCUUCCUAUUGCCAACAUAUGGGAGAUCCAAAGCAGCAUUAUCUAAGGUUUUACUCCUCGUCUGAGCAACUGCGUUUUCUGAGCAAUCGGGCAGGCAAAAUGGACUUACUGCUCUGUUGGAGUCUCCUAAGUUGACCGAUUCAGGCGACGUUACCAUUUCACAAUUCAUUAUGAUAUCUAUUUAAGGAUUUACACCGCCAUUGGCUUUUUGAUCAUUAUGUUGAUAUUUAAAAGUUCUUCGGUUUUUCGGUUUUCAUUCAGCAACAAUACGCCGUGUAUGUGUCAAUAAAGAUAAGUGGAUAGCACUCAAAAUUGCAUAUGAGCAUAGAUUCAAUCCACCACUUUAAAUCAAGUAAGCCUGAUAUUAUUAUAGGGACAAAAAUUAGUUGUUUUCGGAACUUUUACCUCUUAUAUCGUAGGAGCUUACAUCCGAGACUUUUGUUAACGUUAGUGGCAAGCGCGCUUUGGUUUAAUACGCAAUUAUGAAUAAGAACGUGUUCAAUCACAGAAAAUCGAUUAUCGGAAACGCUGUGACUAUCACUAAGAUGAAUUGCAAACAAUCGAGUUCGAGAAAACCGUUGGGCUUUAUUCAAUUGAUCUGCGUUUUUGUUCACUCAUUAAAAGCCAUUUCUCUGAGUAUUACUAUGAAUGGUUUUUUUCUGUUUUAUUUUACACUAAAGUGAUGAUAGAAAAAUUAAUUUAUCAAUUAGUAACUAAAUAUUCGAUUGCUCAUAAGGAACUCACUGUUCAUGUUAACGAAUGAAGUUUAAUAUCGUCGGAAAUUAAUAGCCUCUCAAACAUUUAUUUCUUAUACUGGUUUAUUUUGUUCCCGAUUAAAAGUAAUGUAGAUAAUUUUCUCGGAACGUUUCUAAGUUAUAAUGUGUUCAGUCAACAUAGUCUAAUGGCCUAGUUUAAACUCUCAUCCAAAUAAUUCUGAUAGAGCAAGAACUUGGUGCAAUUAAACUAGUGCAUAUCGACAGUCAUUUUUAUUUUAUCAAACCCUAAUACUUACCAUUUCAGUAACUUAGAAGGUAACCUCAAAGCAUCAACACCUUGAGAAUCGUUUGAAGCAGUACUUAGUUUAUUGAAAAAAUUUGGCAAGGUUAACUCCUAAAGGCGACUUCACAACCAUUUAUAGAGAAGAACGAAAAAUUCCAGAUUGCAAAUAAGGUGUUCAUAGUAUUUGCAGGCUUGAAACAACAUAAAAUCGAUUUGGUCUUUAAUGGAAACAAUCAGAACCUUAUUUACAACAUAGGAAUGAAGAAUUACAGUAGCUUAAUAAUAUGUUAAUGU